GGCUCGGUAGAUUAGUUGGUAAAGCGCUCGUCCAGCAUACAAGAGUCCUGGGUUCAAAUCCCAGCCGAACAC
rfam:Aedes aegypti strain Liverpool supercont1.885 genomic scaffold, whole genome shotgun sequence.